rnacentral:rRNA from 1 species
AGAGUUUGAUCAUGGCUCAGAUUGAACGCUGGCGGCAGGCCUAACACAUGCAAGUCGAGCGGUAGAGAGAAGCUUGCUUCUCUUGAGAGCGGCGGACGGGUGAGUAAUGCCUAGGAAUCUGCCUGGUAGUGGGGGAUAACGUCCGGAAACGGACGCUAAUACCGCAUACGUCCUACGGGAGAAAGCAGGGGACCUUCGGGCCUUGCGCUAUCAGAUGAGCCUAGGUCGGAUUAGCUAGUUGGUGGGGUAAUGGCUCACCAAGGCGACGAUCCGUAACUGGUCUGAGAGGAUGAUCAGUCACACUGGAACUGAGACACGGUCCAGACUCCUACGGGAGGCAGCAGUGGGGAAUAUUGGACAAUGGGCGAAAGCCUGAUCCAGCCAUGCCGCGUGUGUGAAGAAGGUCUUCGGAUUGUAAAGCACUUUAAGUUGGGAGGAAGGGCAGUAAAUUAAUACUUUGCUGUUUUGACGUUACCGACAGAAUAAGCACCGGCUAACUCUGUGCCAGCAGCCGCGGUAAUACAGAGGGUGCAAGCGUUAAUCGGAAUUACUGGGCGUAAAGCGCGCGUAGGUGGUUCGUUAAGUUGGAUGUGAAAUCCCCGGGCUCAACCUGGGAACUGCAUUCAAAACUGACGAGCUAGAGUAUGGUAGAGGGUGGUGGAAUUUCCUGUGUAGCGGUGAAAUGCGUAGAUAUAGGAAGGAACACCAGUGGCGAAGGCGACCACCUGGACUGAUACUGACACUGAGGUGCGAAAGCGUGGGGAGCAAACAGGAUUAGAUACCCCGGUAGUCC